UACGGAGGUGGCAAGCGUUGUUCGGAAUUACUGGGCGUAAAGGGCGCGUAGGCGGGGAGGUAAGUCGGGUGUGUAAUCCCUCGGCUCAACCGAGGAACUGCGCUCGAGACUGCUUCUCUUGAGUCCCGGAGAGGAAGGUGGAAUUCCCGGUGUAGCGGUGAAAUGUGUAGAGAUCGGGAGGAACACCGGUGGCGAAGGCGGCCUUCUGGACGGUGACUGACGCUGAGGCGCGAAAGCUAGGGGAGCAAACGGG
rnacentral:rRNA from 1 species